AGAAUCAACGCUGGCGGCGUGCCUAACACAUGCAAGUCGAACGAGAAAGGGUAGCAAUACCUGAGUAAAGUGGCGUACGGGUGAGUAACACGUGACUAACCUACCUUUGAGUGGGGGAUAACUUCGGGAAACCGAGGCUAAUACCGCAUAAUACCUACGGGUUAAAGGAGCAAUUCGCUUAAAGAGGGGGUCGCGGCUGAUUAGCUAGUUGGUAGGGUAACGGCCUACCAAGGCAAUGAUCAGUAUCCGGCCUGAGAGGGCGCACGGACACACUGGAACUGAAACACGGUCCAGACUCCUACGGGAGGCAGCAGUGGGGAAUUUUGCACAAUGGGGGAAACCCUGAUGCAGCAACGCCGCGUGGAGGAUGAAGUCCCUUGGGAUGUAAACUCCUUUCGACCGGGACGAUAAUGACGGUACCGGUGGAAGAAGCCCCGGCUAACUCUGUGCCAGCAGCCGCGGUAAUACAGAGGGGGCAAGCGUUGUUCGGAAUUAUUGGGCGUAAAGGGUGCGUAGGCGGUGCGGUAAGUCUUUUGUGAAAUCUCCGGGCUCAACUCGGAGUCUGCAGGAGAAACUGCCGUGCUUGAGUAUGGGAGAGGUGAGUGGAAUUCCUGGUGUAGCGGUGAAAUGCGUAGAUAUCGGGAGGAACACCUGUGGCGAAAGCGGCUCACUGGACCAUAACUGACGCUGAGGCGCGAAAGCUAGGGGAGCAAACAGGAUUAGAUACCCUGGUAGUCCUAGCCCUAAACGAUGAUCGCUUGUGUGACAGGUACCCAAUCCUGUCGUGCCGGAGCUAACGCGUUAAGCGAUCCGCCUGGGGAGUACGGUCGCAAGGCUGAA
rnacentral:rRNA from 1 species